UCUAUCCUACGGGGCGCAGCAGUGAGGAAUAUUGGUCAAUGGGCGCGAGCCUGAACCAGCCACGUCGCGUGAGGGAUGACGGUCCUACGGAUUGUAAACCUCUUUUGCCGGGGAGCAAGCGUGCGUUCGUGAACGCGCGUCGAGAGUACCCGGAGAAAAAGCAUCGGCUAACUCCGUGCCAGCAGCCGCGGUAAUACGGAGGAUGCGAGCGUUAUCCGGAUUUAUUGGGUUUAAAGGGUGCGUAGGCGGGAUUCAAAGUCAGCGGUAAAAAUGCGGU
rnacentral:rRNA from 1 species